CGGGUGAGUAACACGUGGGCAACCUGCCUGUAAGACCGGAAUAACCCCGGGAAACCGGGGCUAAUGCCGGGUAAUACUUUUCUUCGCAUGAAGGAAAGUUGAAAGAUGGCUUCUUGCUAUCACUUACAGAUGGGCCCGCGGCGCAUUAGCUAGUUGGUGAGGUAACGGCUCACCAAGGCGACGAUGCGUAGCCGACCUGAGAGGGUGAUCGGCCACACUGGGACUGAGACACGGCCCAGACUCCUACGGGAGGCAGCAGUAGGGAAUCUUCCGCAAUGGACGAAAGUCUGACGGAGCAACGCCGCGUGAACGAUGAAGGUCUUCGGAUCGUAAAGUUCUGUUGUUAGGGAAGAACAAGUACCGUGCGAAUAGAGCGGUACCUUGACGGUACCUAACGAGGAAGCCCCGGCUAACUACGUGCCAGCAGCCGCGGUAAUACGUAGGGGGCAAGCGUUGUCCGGAAUUAUUGGGCGUAAAGCGCGCGCAGGCGGUUCCUUAAGUCUGAUGUGAAAGCCCACGGCUCAACCGUGGAGGGUCAUUGGAAACUGGGGAACUUGAGGACAGAAGAGGAGAGUGGAAUUCCACGUGUAGCGGUGAAAUGCGUAGAUAUGUGGAGGAACACCAGUGGCGAAGGCGACUCUCUGGUCUGUUUCUGACGCUGAGGUGCGAAAGCGUGGGUAGCAAACAGGAUUAGAUACCCUGGUAGUCCACGCCGUAAACGAUGAGUGCUAGGUGUUAGGGGGCUUCCACCCCUUAGUGCUGAAGUUAACGCAUUAAGCA
rnacentral:rRNA from 1 species